CACCCAAUCGAUGCCCAGCCCCGAGCGUCCAAUCCCCUCCCCUUCGUGUCCUCCCCAUGCCCAUCCUGCUCGGCCGCCGCCGCCGCCAUCGCUGCCGCUCGCGCCCAGCUACUGAUCUUCUCCAUGGCUCAAAGAAAGAGAUGCUACGAGCAGCAAGGCAAUUUGGCUGGAGGAGAUGGAGCACGACGUGUGGAAGCUAGCAGGAAAGGUGAAGACCGAUGGGGGCUCAGCCUCCACCGCCGCCCUCCUCCCCCUUGCCGCCGAGAUCGUGCCCCCACAGCAGCUCGCGGAUGAGACGUAACUCAGCAGUGCUUGGCUUCGGUUUGGCCGGAAAGACGCCGGCCAACAACACAACAGCCGGCCCUCCUUUGCAUCUUCAUUUUUUUGGAGACCUACAGCUUCUGUUUUCUAGAGAUUUCCCCCCUUCGACUAUUGUGGAAAUGUUUUGUGCACGCAAGGAAUGUUUGUUUACAGAUCUUCAAUAACAGUUCAAAGCUUGGAUGAAGUUUUAUGUAUAUUAUGAUGGGAAGGUGCUUCAGCAAACUAUUAGGUCUGCAUUUUUGUGGAACUCAUCUUACUUCUGCUCCAUUUAUUUGACUACUUCCCUUGAUUUGCUUGUGUGCACAUAAUUGGUACUCCACUCUUUUCUGAGAUGGUUGCCCGUCAUUUUUUUUGGUGAAGGUUGUUUGUAUGCUUCUUUUAACCAAUAGUUGGCAUAUAGCCUCCCUUUCUUUACGACACCAUUUUUGUGCGUUCGCUUGGUUAUGGGGCUUUAUAUGCAAUUAUAGUCAAUUUUAUUAUGGUGGCAGCAGGUACUCCAAAUACCUUUUGUGCUGGUUAAGAGUAGGGCCAGCAGUGUAUUUAGACAUCUGCGCGCAUGUUAUCCUUAGGUAAGAAUAGGAUGUAUCUGGUUAUUUUCAGAUAUGGCGAACACACCAAAUAAUUAAAAUUGAGCACUUUCUUAUAUUAUGGAGUUGAUGCAUUUGUGUCUCUUAUGAAUCUGAUGGGCUUAUUUUCUAAUGAAUAUUUUAGAAAUUACAUCUCAUGGCAAUAUACUCAUAUCUAUAAAUUUUAUGUCAAGAGCAUACAGGCGAGACAACAUCACUUAAUGGCCCUCCAACAACUAAUGCAGAAGCUUACAGGCCUUGGAUUUGGAAACGACAAGGCCCUGCAUUCAAGUGGUGGAAUUCACACAUGUAAAGUGAUGGAUCCUCUUAGUUCUUCCAUAUAAAGGCGUGUGAUGGUUGGUCUGCCUGUCUCGCAGCGCUUUGCACUCUAGAACCUGAUAACAGUUAUAAGUCAGUUGCACUCAAUUAUCAGUCUAAGAGAGAUCUCGAUAUCAUAGAGGGUUAUUGUUGAUCCAUGGAUACAGUCCAACAUCCAUGAUUGGAAGAGAAUGGUAAGGUUUCGACUUCAGUUACAUAAAUCUCAUUUGCCUUUCUCGGGUAGGUUUGUUGGUGCUGGGCACCAUUCUUUCUCCUACUUACUCUGGCUUGGCUACAGCUUGCAACACAUUUAUUUUGCAGGUUGUCGACGUGUUACACUAAUGCAGUUGUUCCUUUACGGUGUGUGGGAGGCGCUACAGUCUAUCAGGAGGCAGAAACUACAAUUUUUAAGGAAGAUAAUUGAUACCUUCAGUGGCACACUUGGAGUAUGAAAAUGCCUCAUUUGGAUCUAUGCCCCUCCGUUACUGCCCAACAGCCGGUGAAUUUUUUGUUUUAAGGAGGACCGGUAUUGCGCUCACCAAUAGAUGUUCUACCUCCCUGUAACUGUCAAUCAAGGCAAUUAAAUUAAUCCUAUUGAUAAAUUUUACUCUCUGUUCACACAUAUAAGACCCAUAUUCGAACUGUGUGCCAUGAGGUAUUGGCAAAAAAUUAUUGAAUUUAAUGGUUACUCACUAAAAAUGUAUUGCCAAAAAAGGAAGAAUUUCAUUGGACCAACUUAUCGAAACCUUUAUCUGUCAUGGAGUAAGGUUUCUGGUUCUACAGUGUUGAGUAUAACUUGACCGAUGUCAUUUUUGUCCUUUGUUAGCGCUUAGCUAUGCCUGUGAUGUCUUUGCUAGCUAUUCUGAUUCAUGAUCAAGUCAUAUAAUUAGUUUUACUUUCGCAGAUGGUCUAAAUAGAGAAAUCUUCAUAUUCUUUUCUGUUGCAAGGAGUGUUCUUUCUUCUAGGACAAGAUAUAAGCAAGUUAAGACAAUUUCUAUAACGUGCAUGCAAGCUGUAACUGAAGUUUAUCUGUUCAUUGCUUUUAUUUUGCAGAUCUUGCAGCAGGGAAAGGAACGGACCAUGCAUCAUUACUUCCCUAAUACAUUUUAAAUUGUUUUAUGGUGUAACAUGUGUCAUUAUGAUAUAUUAUAUCUUACAAAUAGGCAUAGGUGACGUGCUCCAUUGACAACAAUUGAUUCACUAUAAUAAUGUUGCAGAUGAGCAUUGCAGCAAUAUUACCUAAAUAUAGCAUGCUUUUUCA